CCUACGGGAGGCAGCAGUGGGGAAUAUUGCACAAUGGGGGAAACCCUGAUGCAGCGACGCCGCGUGAAGGAAGAAGGCUUUCGGUAUGUAAACUUCUAUCAGCAGGGAAGAAAAUGACGGUACCUGACUAAGAAGGCUCGACUAACUACGUGCCAGCCGCCGCGGUCAUACGUAGGGGGCGAGCGUUAUCCGGAGUUACUGGGUGUAAAGGGAUCGGUGGCGGGUUAGCAAGUGAGCAGUGAAAGUCCGGGGCUAAACUCUGGGACUGCUUUUGAAACUGUUUAACUAGAGUGCAGGAGAGGUAAGUGGAAUUCCUAGUGUAGCGGUGAAAUGCGUAGAUAUUAGGAGGAACACCAGUGGCGAAGGCGGGUUACUGGACUGUAAAUGACGCUGAGGCUCGAAAGCGUGGGGAGCAAACAGGAUUAGAUACCCGAGUAGUC
rnacentral:rRNA from 1 species